rnacentral:rRNA from 1 species
UACGUAGGGGGCGAGCGUUGUCCGAAUUUACUGGGCGUAAAGCGCGCGUAGGCGGCUCUUUAAGUCCGGGGUGAAAGGUCCAGCGCUCAACGCGGACAGUGCCCUGGAGACUGGGGGGCUUGAGUGUGGCAGGGGGGACCGGAAUUCCUGGUGUAGCGGUGAAAUGCGUAGAUAUCAGGAGGAACACCGGUGGCGAAGGCGGGUCCCUGGGCUAACACUGACGCUGAGGCGCGAAAGCGCGGGGAGCGAACGGG